rnacentral:rRNA from 1 species
CCUUGAACGUAUUAGACACACCACCUCUGCUUGCAUGUGGUACUCCCAUUUCAGUGAAGUAUAAAAUCCUAAAAGUACAACUUUUGUUGUUCUUUUGUGAGUAGAGGCGAUUGAUAGAUCCCUCUAUUUCUACAUUCUAGAGAUUUCCUCCUCGUUUAUCUCGAAACUCUAUUGUAUUUUGAAAUACUCUAUGUUUUGAGUGAGGAUAAAGGAAGCUCAUUCAUGAAUGAAGUAUCUUGAGGUGACGGAAGCGUCUUGGGGUUACAUGUAUCCUUGAGUUAACUUCCCUCCUUUCAUCCUUCCUGAAAUUGGGUGAGACUACCCGCUGAAUUUAAGCAUAUAAUUAAGCGGUGGAAAAGAAAAUAACUAUGAUUCUCUUAGUAACGGCGAGUGAAGCGGGAGGAA